UACAGAGGGGGCAAGCGUUGUUCGGAAUUACUGGGCGUAAAGGGCGCGUAGGCGGCCUGUUAAGUCGAACGUGAAAUCCCCGGGCUCAACCCGGGAACUGCGUCCGAUACUGGCAGGCUUGAAUCCGGGAGAGGGAUGCGGAAUUCCAGGUGUAGCGGUGAAAUGCGUAGAGAUCUGGAGGAACACCGAUGGCGAAGGCAGCCUUCUGGGCCAACACUGACGCUCAUGCACGAAAGCGUGGGGAGCGAACAGGA
rnacentral:rRNA from 1 species